GGGGUUGUGGCUCAGCGGUAGAGCGCUCACCUACCACAUGCGAGGCCCUGAGUUCAAUCCUCAGCAACACAU
rnacentral:tRNA from 1 species